GACCCGCUGCCCGAAUUGUCACCGUAUGGUGUGCGUGCCGAGAGCCUAGGGCGCGGGUCUUCU
rnacentral:sRNA from 12 species